rnacentral:sRNA from 1 species
UUUUUCAUUUUUUUUUGUCUUUUA